AUGUACGCUGGCGGCGUGCCUCAUCCCUGCAAGUCGCGCGAACAGACGAGGAGCUUGCUCCUCUGACGUUAGCGGCGGACGGGUGAGUAACACGUGGAUAACCUACCUAUAAGACUGGGAUAACUUCGGGAAACCGGAGCUAAUACCGGAUAAUAUAUUGAACCGCAUGGUUCAAUAGUGAAAGACGGUUUUGCUGUCACUUAUAGAUGGAUCCGCGCCGCAUUAGCUAGUUGGUAAGGUAACGGCUUACCAAGGCAACGAUGCGUAGCCGACCUGAGAGGGUGAUCGGCCACACUGGAACUGAGACACGGUCCAGACUCCUACGGGAGGCAGCAGUAGGGAAUCUUCCGCAAUGGGCGAAAGCCUGACGGAGCAACGCCGCGUGAGUGAUGAAGGUCUUCGGAUCGUAAAACUCUGUUAUUAGGGAAGAACAAAUGUGUAAGUAACUAUGCACGUCUUGACGGUACCUAAUCAGAAAGCCACGGCUAACUACGUG
rnacentral:rRNA from 1 species